ACCCUCCAGUUUCCUUUGCCAUCAAAUCUGCACUGCUCUCAGUGGUUAUAAAAGGAGGGAAAGCACCACUAAAAUGGACUUCAGUGCGUUUGUAGCACCAGGGCUUGUUUCAGCUUCAA
rnacentral:snoRNA from 1 species